CUUGGUCAUUUAGAGGAAGUAAAAGUCGUAACAAGGUUUCCGUAGGUGAACCUGCGGAAGGAUCAUUAUUGAAAUAAACCUGAUGAGUUGUUGCUGGUUCUCUAGGGAGCAUGUGCACACUUGUCAUCUUUAUAUCUCCACCUGUGCACCUUUUGUAGACCUGAAUAUCUUUCUGAAUGCAUUUAGCAAUUUGGGUUUGAGGAUUGACUCUGUCUUUCUUCACAUUUUCAGGCCUAUGUUUCUUCAUAUACCCAUUGUAUGUUAUAGAAUGUAAUAAAUGGGCCUUUGUGCCUAUAAAUCUAUUACAACUUUCAGCAACGGAUCUCUUGGCUCUCGCAUCGAUGAAGAACGCAGCGAAAUGCGAUAAGUAAUGUGAAUUGCAGAAUUCAGUGAAUCAUCGAAUCUUUGAACGCACCUUGCGCUCCUUGGUAUUCCGAGGAGCAUGCCUGUUUGAGUGUCAUUAAUAUUAUCAACCUCUUCAGCUUUUGCUUGUUGAGUGUUGGAUGUGGGGGUAUUUUUUUUUGCUGGUCUCUCUGAGAUCAGCUCCCCUGAAAUGCAUUAGCAGAACAAUUUGUUGACUGUUCAUUGGUGUGAUAAACUAUCUACACUAUUGACAUGAAGCAAGAAGGUUCAGCUUCUAACAGUCCAUUUGGACAAUUUUUCAUUAAUGUGACCUCAAAUCAGGUAGGACUACCCGCUGAACUUAAGCAUAUCAAUAAGCGGA
rnacentral:rRNA from 1 species